rnacentral:lncRNA from 1 species
UUCAUAUAAUUAAUUUAUUAAUUUAUUAAUUAUAAUGUUUUUAUAAUUUAAAUAUGAAAUACUAUAUGUGGCAUAAUCCCCCCCCCCCCCCUAAACAAAAAGUAUCUUAAAACAAAAAACAAGCCAUGUUUUAUUACUGUGCAUGAUACUCAAUAACUUGAGUGGUCACAUUCUCAAUUUACACAGACAAUAUUAAAAAAAAAACAACACAGUUCACAUUCGUCAUCUCAUCUGAACUGAGAAAGUAAGGUUUCUCGUUAUACUACCAAGCUUUAGAAUAUCACUCCGCAACAGCAUCUGCAUUUUUUGCUGUACAUCGGACAUUCGUCAGGAGUCCUCUUAAUAUUUCUAUCAAACUUUAUAAACAAGUGUAAAUCACAAACACUCAUUCUUUUUAAAAGGAUCUUUGGUUAUUGGAUCCAUAAUUACUGUGAUGAUUGUAAAAGGUUGGUUUUAGGAGAGCGUCCCUGGAGAACCACCGUGUUCUACAUGCAUGCUUUUGCUGUUUGGGGGUUUUAGGCUGGGUUUCUGUACAGCACUUUGUGACAUCGGCUGAUGUAAAAAGAGCUUCAUAAAUACAUUUGAUUGAUUGAUGAUUGAUUGGUUAGGUGCCUUGCUCAAGGACACAAUGGCAGUCGGAGCCACCUGAGACUCUAGUAGAAAGCGGCAACUUCUCUUCUGACAGCUUUUCCCCUGUCACCACUGGGAUUAAAAACCAGCCACCUUUAGGUUACUGGGACCGCUUCUCUAGUCAGGGGUCAGAGGUUAGAUCCUGGUGAGGAAGCCCAGUCUGAGGCUGGAUGGUAUCUGCAGUAGCUCCAGGCCUGAGUUCACGGGUGAAGGGGUCAAGGUCAGUUAGGGUUAUCCUGGAGAGGAAGCCCAGUCUGAGGCUGGAUGGUAUCUCCAUAGCUCCAGGGCCUGAGAGGACGGGGUGAAGGGAAGGUGACUUGGAACGAUACUGGGUAUCCAGACAGCUGGGAGGAUCCCCCCUCACGGUCUUGGAGACAGCCCUGGGGACAAGGUAAAUAAAUUACUUUCAUAGAUGUAGUUCAUGGAGACGUUGUGAUUAAAAUGAUAUAAUUUCUAGUAGUAUUCAAAUGUAAUAAUAAUUCAAACUGUGUAAAAAGCAGGUGCUCCGUCCUUGUCAUAGGAUCGAGAUUUACCUGAAUUUGCGGACGAACGAUGGUGCCACCCUUUUCUCAAAAUCAUCAGUGGGUGUGGAAGAGUUCAAAAUUUGACAAUCUGAACAGGGCGGUAAACAAGAUUCAUUUAAACAUGCUUUCGAUACAUUUC